rnacentral:rRNA from 1 species
UCCGAUUCCUACGGGAGGCAGCAGUGGGGAAUUUUCCGCAAUGGGCGAAAGCCUGACGGAGUGACGCCGCGUGGGGGACGAAGGCCUUCGGGUCGUAAACCCCUGUCAGAGGGAAAGAAGGGUGUCGGCGUGACAAGCGUCGGCAUCUGACGGUACCUUCAGAGGAAGCCCCGGCCAACUCUGUGCCAGCAGCCGCGGUAAGACAGAGGGGGCAAGCGUUGCUCGGAAUCACUGGGCGUAAAGGGCGCGUAGGCGGGGUGGCAAGUCGGUCGUGAAAUCCUUCGGCUCAACCGAAGAACGUCGGCCGAUACUGCCAUUCUUGAGGGAUGCAGAGGAGACUGGAAUUCCCGGUGUAGCGGUGAAAUGUGUAGAGAUCGGGAGGAACACCGGUGGCGAAGGCGGGUCUCUGGGCAUCUCCUGACGCUGAGGCGCGAAAGCGUGGGGAGCAAACGGGAUUAGAUACCCCGGUAGUCCACGCCGUAAACGAUGACGACUAGGUGUGGGGGGUAUCGACCCCCUCCGUGCCGCAGCUAACGCAAUAAGUGUCCCGCCUGGGGAGUACGGCCGCAAGGCUAAAACUCAAAGGAAUUGACGGGGGCCCGCACAAGCAGCGGAGCGUGCGGUUUAAUUCGUCGCAACGCGAAGAACCUUACCAAGGCUUGACAUGCUAGUGGUACUGAUCCGAAAGGUGAGGGACCCUUCGGGGAGCUAGCACAGGUGCUGCAUGGCUGUCGUCAGCUCGUGCCGUGAGAUGUUGGGUUAAGUCCCGCAACGAGCGCAACCCUUGUUCGCUGUUGCCAUCAGGUUACGCUGGGCACUCUGCGAAGACUGCCGGUGAUAAACCGGAGGAAGGUGGGGAUGACGUCAAGUCAGCAUGGCCUUUAUGUCUGGGGCCACACACGUGCUACAAUGGCCGGUACAAACCGUCGCGAGCCCGCAAGGGGGAGCUAAUCGGAGAAAGCCGGUCUCAGUUCGGAUUGCAGGCUGCAACUCGCCUGCAUGAAGUUGGAAUCGCUAGUAAUCGCGGAUCAGCAUGCCGCGGUGAAUACGUUCCCGGGCCUUGUACACACCGCCAUCCAUAUGA